rnacentral:lncRNA from 1 species
CUCUUUCUCCUUGGCAUACUGUAUGAAGCGUUAGUACUACUCCCAGAGUGGUAGUAGCUCUUGUGUGCAGGCUGAGAAGAGCAUAACGGUUGGAUUCGUUCCCCACUAUAAAAGGGGGUCUUCUUCCCCAAGAAGACUUAACUCUUCCUCCCCCAAAACUCCAGUGUUGCUCCAAAGCUCAUUUUUUCCUGAUCUCUCUCCCUAGCCAAUCAAACUUGUUGAUUUUCUAGGGAUUGGUUGAGAAGGCCCCGACCUACACUUCCACCAAGAGAAAUUUGAUUCCCCCCACUAAUCCCUUGCGGAUCUUGCUACUCUUGGGUGUUUGAGCACCCUAGACGGUUGAGGUCACCUCGGAGCCACAUUCCAUUUUGGUGAAGCUUCGCAAUGUUGUUGGGAGCAUCCAAUUAAGUUGUGCAGAUUGCCCCAACCUUGUUUGUAAAGGUUUGGCCGUCCCCUUUAAGGGCACCACUCGUGGAAUCAGGGCAUCUCGCAUUGUGUGAGGGCGUGAGGAGAAUACGGUGGCCCUAGUGGCUUCUUGGGGAGCAUUGUGCCUCCACACCGCUCCAACGGAGACGUGCUUCCCUCAUAGGGAAGGAACUUCGGUAACACAUCUUCGUCUUCACCGGCUCCACCUGUGGUUAUUUCUUACCUUUACUUUGUGCAAGCUAUUAUUGUGUGUUAUCCUUUGCUUGCUUGUGUUGCUUGUAUUGUUAGCAUCAUAUAGGUUGCUCACCGAGUUGCAUAUCUGGACAACAUAUUUGUUGCUAACCUAAAUUUGAUAAGAAAAGUUAAAAUUUGGUAGUUGCCUAUUCACUCCCUAGUCAACCAUAUCGAUCCUUUCACUAUCGGUUUAGCAUCUCCAUGCACAUGACUUGUGAAACAUAGUCAUCAACCGUGUAUAGUAGUCAAGGAUAUGUGUCCGCAUAACCGCAUAACCUUAUCAACUAGGGACCAUUAGAAUGAUCAUCAUAUAAUACAUAGUUCCAGAAACAAGUCACAUACUUAUUCAUGCAUAUCAUUGAUGAUGUUCAAGGACAAUACAAAAGAUUCAUGAAUACAUAGGGAAAUAUCAUCAUCACAUGAUUGCCUCUAGGGCAUAUCUCCAACAGUCUCCCACUUGCACUACAGUCAAUCAUUUAGGCAUCAUAUUCACAUGGAACUCAUGUGUGCCUCAUGCUUCGGCUGUGGGAGAGGCUUUGUCUAUGGAUCAACAUCAUUUGCAUCCAUGUGUACCUUGCAUGUUUACAUCACCUCUCUCGACAAUGUUGCGAAUAAGGUUAAAACGCCUGAGUAUUUGUUGGGUUUUAUGAUGGUUCCGUGGUUCCUUGACAUGCGCGAUAGCACCACUAUUGUCACAAUAGAGGUCCAAUGGAUUGGACGUGCUCUGAACCACACCAAGAUCAGAAAUAAAAUUCUUCACCCAAACAUCUUCUUUUGCAGCUUCAGAAGCGGCAAUGUACUCGGCCUCUGUUGUAGAAUCAGCUACCGUAUCUUCUUGGAACUCCUCCGGCUCACUGCUCCCCCGUUCAGAAUGAACACAAACCCAGAUUGUGAUUGACUAUCAUCCCUAUUGGUUUAGACACUAGCAUCGGUGUAACUCUUUACAACGAGAUCAUCCUCACCUCCAUAAACCAGGAACAUAUCCUUGGUCCUUCUCAAGUACUUAAGGAUAUUCAUAACCGCUGUCCAGUGACUCUCACCUGGAUCGGCUUGGUAUCUGCCCACCACGCUGAGAGCAAAGCUAAUAUCGGGACGAGUACAUACCAUAGCAUACAUGAUGGACCCAACAGCCGAAGCAUAUGGAAUCCCAUCCAUGCAUCUUCGCUCAUUAGGAGUCGAAGGACUCUGAGUCUUGCUAAGACUAAUGCCAUGUGACAUGGGCAAGAAACCCUUCUUGGCAUCUUGCAUGUUGAACCGCUUCAACACCUUGUCAAUAUAUGCACUCUGGCUUAAUUCAAUAAGCCUUCUCGAUCUAUAUCUAUAGAUCUUGAUUCCCAAAAUAUAGGCUACUUCUCCCAAGUCCUUCAUUGAAAAACUAUUUUUCAAUGAGUCCUUGACAUAUUCAAGCAUUUGAACAUCAUUUCCAAUCAACAAUAUGUCAUCCACAUAUAAGAUCAGAAAUGCUACUGAGCUCCCAUUGACCUUCUUGAAUACACAAUGAUCACAGUCGUUCUUGAUGAAGCCAAACUCUUUGACCACUUCACUAAAAUGAAUGUUCCAAUUCUGAGAUGCUUGCCUCAAUCCAUAAAUGGAUCUCUGAAGCUUGCAUACUAUGCUAGACUUCUUUGGAUCGACAAACCCCUCGGGUUGUGUCAUAUACAGAUGCUCAGUUAAAUUUCCAUUAAGGAAAGCCGUUUUGACAUCCAUCUGCCAUAUCUCAUAGUCGAAAUAUGCAACUAUAGCAAGAAUGAUCCGAAUUGAUUUAGGCAUCGCUACCGAUGAGCAAGUCUCAUCAUAGUCAAGUCCUUGAACUUGUCGAUACCUUUAGCAAAAGGUCAAGCCUUAUGGACUAUGACAUUUCCAUCCAUAUCGGUUUUCUUCUUAAAGAUCCAUUUGCACUCAAUGGAUCGAACGCCAUUGCUACUUGUGAGCUGUGUAGGCAUUUCCUCGAAGAGGAGAGGAUGACGUAGUAUAGUAGAGAUAAGUAUUUCCCUCAGUUAUGGAAUCAAGGUUAUUAAUCUAGUAGGAGAACCAAGAAACACUAUGUAAACAACACCCUGCACACAAGCAACAAAUACUUGCAACCCAACGUGUAGAGGGGUUGUCAAUUCCUCAACGGUUAUGAGCAGGACUAAAUUGUAUAGGUUUUGAUAGAUAGAUCUGAAAAAAUACAAAAUAAAAUAAAUAAAAUAGACCUGGGGGCAUAGUUUUCACUAUAGGCUUCUCUCGAGAAAAUAGCAUAUGAUGGGUAAACAAAUUACUGUUGGGAAAUUGAUAGAAAAACAAAUAAUUAUGACAAUAUCCAAGGCAAUGAUCAUGUAUAUAGGCAUCACGUCCAAGAUUAGUAGACCGAAAUGAUUCUGCAUCUACUACUAUUACUCCACACAUCGACUGCUAUCCAACAUGCAUCUAGUGUAUUAAGAACGGAGUAAUGCCUUAAGAAAGAUGACAUGAUGUAGACAAGAUAAACUCACGGAUGAAAUAAAUCCCAUGUUGUUACCCUUAAUAGCAACAAUACAUGUGUGUCAUUUCUCUUUCUGUCACUCAGAUUGCCCACCGCAAGAUCGAAACCAUCACAAAGCACCCUUCCCAUGGCAAGAUAAAUCAAUCUAGUUGGCCAAACCAAACCAAUAAAUCAGAGAAGAAAUACGAGGCUAUAACAAUCAUGCUUAAAAGAGUUCAGAGAAAACUCAAAUAAUAUUCUUGGAUAGAUCUGAUCAUAAACUCACAAUUCAUCGGAUCCCAACAAACACACCGCAAAAAGUCAUUACAUCAAAUAGAUCUCCAAGAACACCGAGGAAAACAUUGAAUUGAAGAUCAAAAAGAGAGAAGAAGCCAUCUAGUUACUGACUAUGGACCCGUAGGUCUGUGUUAAACUACUCACGUAUCAUCAAAGGGGCGGCAAGGAUGAUGAAGAACCCCUCCGUGAUUGUUUCCCCCUCCAGCAGAGUGCCGGAAAAGGCCUCUAGAUUAGAUCUUGUGGUUCUGGAACUUGCGGCAGCGGAAAAAGUAUUUCUGUAGGAACAAAGUAUGUCUACCAGAGGGGGGGUGAAUGGGAGUUUUAAAUUUUCUUCGAAGAACUUAAAUCUCUUAGAACCAAGCAGCGGAAUGAAUGAAAAAUAGACUACGAAGAACUAUAACAGAGUACUGAAGGGAAACUGAAGCAUGUAUCGAAGUAAAUCACAUGAAUGAAAUGCAUCAAAUCUGAACAUAAGUGACGGAGGUAACCGAAGAUGCUCGAUGGCGACAAGGUAUUUGUUUGACCAGUUCGUCCUUCUGCACAAGGACUACGUCUGGUUGGAGGGGUUGUGACUUAACACAGAAGAUAAACCCUCUUCACCCUAUUCUCCUCGACAAUCGAUUCGUCAACCAAUUCCGGUCACUCGUGGUAGAUACUUGAAGGUGAUCUCCGAACCUUUACAGACUUCUUCUUCGAGAACCACAACCACUCUUGGUCUCUGAAGAAAUUGACACCUAACCUUCUAGUGAGUUUGCAGCUCUCAAGAGUAAUAGGUGGAGCGCACUAAACUUAGAUUCUAGUGAUGCUGAAGCACUAUCUAAUUCUUCGGCUCUAGGGUUUUUCUCUCGGUGGAUUUUAAACUCGAAUCGCUCAGAGAGGGGGUUGCUGAACAAUCUUCUCAGGAAUCAAACGGAGCAGCCGUCGAACAAAGCCGGCGCGGGGUGGCUAUUUAUAGUCGCAGCCUUCCCAGAUGGGAAAUGACCAUUUUGGACACGAGGUCCAACCAAUGGCCAACCGACACGUUCACAACAGUCGGAUUUUGGAGCAAUGGUAACAUUACUUGAGGAACAAGUAAUGCUAACUCCUCGAUCCGAGGCAAAUCUCUUGCAGCAAAUAAGAUCACGGUCUCUUGCUGGCAAGUAUUUACUCGGAGCACAAAGAGAUUCUCUCACAGCUUUCGUAGGAUUUGGGUUUAGCAUAAGAGAAUCAAAGCUUCAAACGCUACACCCCUCUUAAUAGUAUGGUGGUCCUAUGACUCAGUGAAAGAAGAAGAAUGAUGAAAUAAAUGCUACAUCUUCAUCUCAUCUCCAUUCUUCCUCGAGCGCAGUCAUUUGCUUCGAACAUGCACCGAACCAAUUUCUUGGACUUCAGCAAUUUUUAGGGGUCACUCUUGUUAGCUUUAUCUUCGAUGAUAACCUUCACUACCGCGCAGGGAGAUUAUCUUCGUCGAUGCAUCAAACUCCUCAAUCCUGCAGGGGCCUGUUACUCUAUGUGCACUAGCAAACACAUAAGUCCCAUACUGUUUAUGUCAACAAACUCCAAAACAUAAGGGGCCUAUCAUUGCACCAAUAAUCUCCCCCUUUUUGGAUGGUUGUUGACAAAACAGAUAAUCAUCGACGUAAAUCGAACAAGAGUGAACUUGUGUUACAUGACUCGAUGAUGAAAUAUACUCCCCCUUGAUGUAUGCAGGGUCAAUUGAUAUACAAUUAAGUUCCUUGCAAUCUAUUUGAGUGUGUGGAGGAUUUUGAAUCAUACGAGGUAAUGAUUCGCACUGAUGAUAGGUACUCCAACAAGAAUAUAACACAAUCAUUCAUGACUUAUGUCAAUAAUUGCACCUGCAAAACAAUAAGCUUUGAGAGAAUAUAGUGCAGCAGGGGGGUUAUUAAUAUUAUAGUCCAGAACAGAAGUUUUACAACAUAGCACAUAAAAUGGCAUAAAUUGUCCCAAGAGUAGAGCGAGUAAACACAAAGAGCAAAUCCAACAGAGCAAAUCUAUCAAAACUCUCGAUGUUAUUCUCCCCCUUUUUGUCAACUAGUGUCAAAAAGGUGACGAAAAACACGAGUGCUAAAAGGUGAAUAUGAUUCACUCUGAGGCAUCGCCCGAGGAACUGCCCGAAGAAGUUUCUGAUUCGGCGGUGUCUGGAACAUCUUCGUCUUCAGCAGUAGCAAUAGAUCCUUCAAGACUGGCUUGGGACUGAGAAGAGGAAGGCACAUUGGGAUCAGCUGUCAGGACCCCGAUCCUAAGCCACAUCGAUCUAGCAUGUAACACAUCAUAUCACUUUGCGGCCUCAUGCACGGUAUUCCCACGGGUGUCGCCUUACCUGGCCCGGGACCGUUUGCGCCUUUUGGCUCACGUAUAUGAUAGUGUCGCUAGCAUCCAUAUGACAGAGAACCCGGGCCGACAUGACUAGUCGUGAACCCAAAGUGGCACUAACUUACGGGGACAGGCAUACAUGAAACAACAUCGAGCAUGUCGGUCAGCAGCAUGUGAGUCCGGGCUGUAGCAACUGGGCUAACAGGACUCCGGGAACCCGGGCUGUAGCAGGCUAGCAGGACUCUAGAUGUCGCCGCGUGACAUUUCCCUGAAGGGACAGACACAGGAACGAAGUGUAUCACAUGCCGGACAGUCUAGGUGUUCCGGAGCAGUAGUGCUGGGGUAGCAGGACUCCGGUAAACCGGGCUGUAGCGGACUACCAAGGUUCAGUAGAAGCACCAGACUACAUUUCCCCAUAAGAGAGGCUACCAAGGAUAAACAACUAGAUUGUCGGAUCCCACACAUACCAAGCAUUUCAAUCAUACACACAAUAUGCUCGAUAUGUGUAAAUACAACAUGGCAUCACAACAUAACUCUACGACUCAAGUAUUUAUUCAUUAGGCUCCGAGAAGCCAAGUGUUACAAACAUGGUCUCAUGACCCAACAUGCAGAGCAUACAAGCAACAAGCGGAAGCAUAACAUGUCUGCGUACAGACAACUACAAAUGAAAAAAGGCUGAGAAGCCCGACUAUCUACAAGACCCUGCCGAGGGCACAAGAUCGUAGCUGAGGUAACAAGCUAAAUGUCGAAGUCCACGCGGAACUACUAGCGAGACUGACGUCUCUCUGCAUAAACAUAAAAUAGGCAAACGUGAGUACAAAUGUACCCAGCAAGACUUACAUCAGAACUAUCUACAUAUGCAUCGGUAUCAACAAAAGGGGUGGUGGAGUUUAACUGCAGCAAGCCAGCUUUGACUCAGUGGCUAACCUGAACUAUGACUGCAAGCAACUCUUUUGAGGUGGCGCACACGAGUCCACAUAUUCACCAUUUCAAUACACCACUAUGGAUCCGCUCCCGUCUCCCUACGAGAACGCCAUCCAUAGCACUCAUGCUUAUCUUGCGAGUUUUAGAGUAUCCACUUUCACUUGUCUAUGAACUGUUAUAGGCAACCCAGAAGUCCUUUACCGUGGACGCGGAUAUUCGAAUAGAUCAUUUAUAACCCUGCAGGGGUGUACUUCUUCACACAUGUUUCCACCACUUAGCGUCUGCACAUGACAUGUGCUCGGCAGACUUCAAGCGAAAGCCGACGUGGAUGUAGACCACGACCUAACUAACCACACAAGUCUCUAGUCCAGGUUUAUCGCCUAUUCGGGUUCCAUCCGCGAGGAGAUCCGGCCGGGGUUUCUCUCACAGCCCCAAACGAUGUGUGCAGGGUUCCCGAGACACCAAACGGGCGCCCGGUACACCGGGCCACGGUGUAUCUACCGCAUCAUAGCCCACCCCUAGGGUCAGCGCUACGCACGGCCUCCAACACAUAUCCUACAAACACCAGAAACUAGUUGCAACUCCUGGACAGAGGACAAGGGCGGUUAAUAAGUCGAGCGGGGUCAUAUUUCAGGGCCCAACGUGUGGUAGUAGCUGCUCAUGGAUCACAAACACAGAGCACAGUUCCUGAGGACGGUUUCAGUGAGACAACCCACCAUGUACUCCUACAUGGCCUCUCACCGCUACCUUUACCAGAUCGUGUUCACACACUUAGCUCACACACAGUAGGACAUGUUCAUCACCAUUCCAAUUCAUUCCCGAUGAAUCAGACCCGACUCAACUCUAAGCAGUAGCAGGCAUGACAAACAACAAUGAAUGAGUAGGCACAUUAGGGCUCAAACAACUCCUACUCAUGCUAGUGGGUUUCAUUUAUUUACUGUGGCAAUGACAGGUCAUGCAGAGGAAAAGGGGUUCAGCUACCGCAGCAUGUAACAGUUGAAUCGAUGUUGUCCUAAUGCAGUAAAAGAGAGUAGGAGCGAGAGAGUGGGAUUGUAUCGGAAUGAACAAGGGGUUUUGCUUGCCUCGCACUUCUGAAGAUAUCAUUGAGUCUUCAUCAGUGUCAACGAUCACAACGCCGGAACAACGUCUACCGAGGGGGAACAACACCAGCAAACAGAGAAGAAACAUGAUCAAUGCAAUGCACAAUAUGAUGCAUGAUCAUGACAUGGCGAUAUACUGUGAUUUGAGCUAAUGCAGCUAAGAACAGAAGGGUUUGAGCUUAUUUGAACCAAAGAUUCAAAUUCAAACUCAAAUUAUGAAUUUAUAAAGUGCAUUAUCAUGUUUUGAUAUGAACAGCAAGGUUAAGUUACUUUGUCAUGCAUGAAACCAGUACCAAUGGAUAGAUUGGAUUUUUCUGAUCAUUUUUCAUAUAUAAAUUAUUUGAUUUGGAGCUACGAUUGAAUUACUAUGAUUUUCAGAAGUUUAGGCAAUUUUUCUGAAAUAAAUAAAUCAUUUAAGAUUUAUUUAAAUUCCAGAAAUGGAUUACUUGCGUCAGCAUGACAUCGGUGUGAUGUCAGCAAGUCAACUGGGUAGGCCAGGUCAAACUGACUUGUGGGGCCCGCUGGUCAGUGACUCAGUUAACUAACUGAGUUAAUUAGUGCUAAACCAGCCCUAACUAAACUGUCAGUAGUGCGGGGCCCACAUGCCAGUGGCUCAUCUAGUUAACUAAGUUAAUUAACACUAAUUAAACCUAACACUAAUUAAACAGGGGCCUGGGCCCACAUGUCAGAACCCAGGGGCGGUCAAACCCCUGGUCAGCGGGGUCAAACCCCUGGUCAGCAGGGUCAAUCCCGCUGGCGUUGAGUCGCCGGCGAGGCCGAGACGGCGGAGAGCGUCGGAAACGCUGCUCUGGCCACGGUUCGAUGCGCGGGUGGGUGUUACGGGUAGCUGGCGGUGUGGCGUAUCCAACGGUGGCGGUGGGUGGUGCUGGGGUGGCCGGAAACGACGACGGCGACGAGCCGGGCGGCGGCCGGAGCUCGGGUGUUCGCGGGAUCGGUGCUGCGGUGUGCAAACAAGCGCAACGAGGCGCUAGGGAGACUCUACGCGCGGCGGUGAGCAUGUUGGGCGCACUCCCGGGACCAAAUGGUCACCGACGACGAGCGCAGGCGGCGGCGGGGUUCGGUCAUCGGCGAAACGGCGACUACGAUGUGCAACCGAGAAAACGGAGAGGGGGAGGAGGAGGAGCAGCUCACAGCGGUUGCAGCAGGUGUCGAAGCGGGCUCGGGGAAGGCCGGAGCUGAGCGGGGCAGCGAGGCGGAUCUCCGGCGGCCGAGGAGGGAAAAAGCGGCGGGGGGCGGCGCUUCGGGGCCUUUCCGGUAGCGUGGCUCGGUGAGGAGGUAGGGAACGAGGUGGCGGAGCUCGGGGAUAGCUCGGGGCGGCUCGGGGAACACGGUGGACGCGGUGACAGCGAGCGGCGGCGACGGUCUCGCUCGGGUGGCUGCGGGCGCGAGCGCUGGGGGGAGAGGGAGGAACCAGAGAGGGGGAGGGAAGAAGCUGGGGUGUCGUGGCGCUCUUGGCGCCCUCUAGCAGCAGCGGCGGCAAGCAGGAGGUGGACGCAUGGUGGUGCACGCGCGUCGGGCACGCGCCCGUCCUUCUGGCAAGGAGGAAGACCACAUGAGGAGGCCAGUGGGCUGGCCAACUGGGCCGCGACAGGUAAGUUAGGUAGGUUUCCUUCCUUUCUAUUCUCCUUCUGUUUUUUAUUUUGCUGUCACUUUAGGGCUUUAUUAGAAAUACUUAGGCACACUCAAAAAUCAUGAAACUGGCUCAAGCCCACUGUUUGGAAUAUAUCCAACAGUAAACAUUUAAGUUUAUGAUUAUUUGGACAUUUAAAAUAUUAUAUAGCAUUUAAAUGCCCAAAUGCAAAUAGAGUAUGAUUUAAUUCAGUGACCCUAUGAUGUCCUAGAAAAGUGUGCACCAUUUUUAUCAGAGGUUCUAGACCAAGGCAAAGAUGAUGAACAUUUUAGAAGGGCAUUUUAGGUUCAUUGAAAAAGAUUUUAGUAAACCCUAGUUGGAUUAAGGGGGUGCUGGGGGUUUCUGUCAUCCCCAUUUCAAGUUUCUGAGAAAUUUAAACAUGAUGCACACAUGAAGGGCUAGCCUAGUGCAAACCAGAUCUAGGGAUGUGACAUCAGCCUCGCGAGUCUUGCGAGAUAGAGGAUUUUCUUCAGCAAGUUUUUCAGUUGGCGAUGUGGCUUCUGAUUCGUCGAGUAAUUUGCGCAGCUGAAUUCAAGGUAAAUUCGUUGUCGGUUCACGAGCUGGCAAAGGCGGAGUAAUGCAAUCUUGAAAAUCUUCAGCAGUAAACCCUUGAUCGAUGUACUCAUAGAGUUCUUGAAGGUGAAGUGACUAAGUUGCUUCUCUUGAUGGUCUUCGGCCAUAUGCUUCAGCAGCAGCUAUUGAGUGCGCAUGCUCACUUCAAGAUGUGAAGGAGGUUGAGUGUUCGGCAGACGAUCACGCUUAGGUAGCUUUGGUCCAUUGAAUGUGUUAUGAUAAUCAGAAGUGCUUGACACUGGUGCUUUUCCCAAAGAGAAAUCUUCCAUUACUUUCAGUGUAUCACGCAUAAGAGGAAUGAAGCUUUUGUGACUGACUUUGGCAAGAUAUUCGGUUUUCAUUGCAUAGUCAACCACUUUCUGAAUCCAGGGCACAAAUACUUUGAUAGUUUUUGGACACUGAGCAUAAUCCAUCAAUAUGCAUAGGAACAUGUCUUCGACAUCGAAGAUAAAACCUUGAGAGAUGGCAUGGAUGGUGUUGCGAAGAACAUCAGAUAUGAUGUUGUCAGUAUUCAUUCCAGCCAGCAGAUAGAGGGUGUAACUCAGAAUAUGAUAUAGAGUCUGAUUAUCGAAUGUCAUGUGCUCAAGCAGGGGAGGACCAUUGUAGUCACGAAUUUUAUCUUCAUCCUUUGUGCAUCGGAAAUCUUCAUUAGAUAUGGCAUCAAUAUUAUGAACUCGAAUCUCAGUCUUGCCAUGUUCAAAUCAAGGGAAAUGAAAAUGAGAGACAAAGUCUAUGGCAGAGUAUUUGAUUCGUUGUCACAGCCCCAGAUCAGCCCUUGUUUGACUUUGCUUGUUCCUCAUGUCAUCAUGUUUAAUUUUCAAAAGAAACUUGAAAUGGGGAUGUUGAAACCCUAGCACCAAAUGCAUUCUACUAGGUUCAAAUAAACAAUAUUUUCAAUUAACCCAAAAUGCCUUAGAAAAUGUUCAUAAUUUUUGAUAAAGGUGAAAACCUCUGCCAAAAAUGAUGCCAAUACUUCUAGGUCAUUUUUGGAUUUUUGAAUUAACUCAUAUUGUAUUUGAAUUGGGGCAUUUAAAUCCUAUAAAUAUUUUAAAUGCUCUAAUAAUUCUGAAACUAGUUGAGGGCUGUUGGAAAUAUUUUCAAAAGUGCCCACAAUUAUUUUCAGGAUUUUACAGAAUGAAUUAGUAUUUUUACUAAUCCAAAACAGAGAAAGAAAAUAGAAGACAGAAACUAAAGACAGAAAUAAAAGAGAAGUGAGAGAAAGUUACCUGGACCUACCUACUGUGCAGCCCACCUGGCCUGGCCCAGUGCCGGCCCAGCCCACCUCCUCCUCCCCUGUCGUCUUCCUCCCCCUGCCAGGAGGACGGCGCGUGCCCGACGCGCGCACGCACGCGCCCCGGCCACCUCCUGCUUCCUGCCGCUUCCCCCUCGUCGCCCUGGGCCUCCCUCGCGACGCCACGCAGCCCCGACUGCUCUCUCCUCUCUCUCUCACUUUCCCCUCUGGCCCUCUCUCCCGCAAAAACAGAGCGCCACCGAGCGAGCUCGCCGACGCCGAUCGCCGUACCCGUGGCCACCACCACCACCUCGCCUCUCCGAGCUGUCCAAGAGCUCCGCCUCAUCUGCUUCUUCCUCCUCGACGAUCCUCCCGGCCUCGGACGCGCUACUUCAUCGCCGCCGUCGCCGUUUCCGUCACCGGCCACCGAGGCUCCUCGUCGUUCGAUUCGCCGACCCCCGAGCGUCCCCGAGCACGCUGAGCUACUCAUCGACCUCGCCGUGAGCUCCUCUACCGAACCCCUCUCUCCCCGCCGUCAUUUUCUUCCUCUAGCCCCGCUGACCGCCGUGCCCGAAGCUUGCCGCCGCACAUCCUUGUCGCCACCGCAGCCACACCUACGGGAACCCGCAACCGAGCACUGCAACACGCGCAACACGCCGUCAGGAGUCUAGAGCACUCACCUGUUGCUCCUACCGUGCGCCGCAACGCCGUUUUCACCGAGGUCCGAACUCCGGCCACCGCAGUUGUCGUCGUCGCCGUCAAUUCCGGCCCCCUCUCGCCCAACCGCCUGCAUCACUGGAUGCGGCUGAGCGCCAGCUACGCGUAGAUGAUCGCCGCCGCUGUUUUGGUCGCUGGAGGGUGUUUCCCGAGCCCCUCCGCUGCGUCUGUCGCCGCCGGCGUCAAGCCGCCGGCGCGUUUGACCUUUUGACCAGGGGUUUGACUUCCCCUAGGUCACUGACAAGUGGGCCAGGCCCUAUUUAACCCUAGGUUAGUUUCUUUAAUUAGUGACUAAUUAAAAGUGUUAAUUAGUUAGUCACUGACAGGCAGGUCCCACGGGUCAGGUUUGACCCUGGCCAGCCCGUUGACUCGCUGACGCAGUGAUGACGUCAGGCUGACGCAGUAUUGGCUUUCUGGAUUUAAAAUAAUUCAAAAAAUUCCAGAAAAUAGUGCAAACUUCUAAAAUUCAUAGAAAUUCAACCGUAGCUCCAAAUCAAACAAGUUAUAUAUGAAAAAUUAUCAGAAAAAUGCAAUCUAUCCAUCUGUAUCAUUUUCAUUCAUGUCAAACUAAGUUAUACCUGCUGUAUAGGUGAAAACAUGAUAAUGCACUAUUUGAAUUCAUAGUUUGAAUUUGAAUUUGAACCUUGAGUUCAAAUCAAAUCAACCCAAACCUUUCUGUUGCUAGUUGCAUUAGGCCAAAUCACGUCAUAUUGCCAUGUCAUAAUCAUGCAUCAUAAUUGUUGCAUUGCAUUGAUUGUGUUCUUCCUUGUUUGCCGGUGAUUGUCCCCUCUCGAUAGCCGUGAUUCUGACGAUGAGUUCGAUGACACCGAUGAAGAACUAUACUAUCUUCGGAAGUGUCAGGCAAGCAUAACCCCCUUGUUCAUUCCGAUACAAUCCCACUCUCUCGCUCCUGCUCUCUUUUACUACAUUAGGACAACAACGAUUCAACUGUUACUUGUUGCGGUAGUUGAACCCCUUAUCCUCUGCAUGACCUGUCAUUGCCACAGUAAAUAGAUGAAACCCACUAGCAUGAGUAGGAGUUGUUUGAGCCCUGGUGUGCCUACUCAUUCAUGCUUGUUUGUCAUGCCUGCUAUUGCUUAGAGUUGUGUCAGGUCUGAUUCAUCGGGGAUGAGUUGGAAGGGUGAUGAACAUGUCCUACUGUGUGUGAGCUAAGUGUGUGAACACGAUUUGGUAAAGGUAGCGGUGAGAGGCCAUGUAGGAGUACAUGGUGGGUUGUCUCAUUGUAGCCAUCCUCAGGAACUGAGUUCUGUGUUUGUGAUCCAUGAUACAGUUACUACCACGCAUUGGGCCCGAAACCAAUGGACCCUCUCGGCUUCUUAAUCACCCUUGUCCUCUGUCCAGGAGUUGCAAGUAGUUUCUGGUGUUUGUAGUAUGCUGGAGGCCGUGGGCAGCGCUGACCGGAGGGGUGGGCUGUGAUGCGGUAAGCACGUGGCCGGGCAUGCCGGGCGCCCGUUUGGUGUCUCGGAACCCCGCACACAUCGUUCGGGGCCGUAUGUGGAAACCUCGUCCGGACUCCCUGCGGAUGGAACCUGAAUAGGCGAUAAACCUGGACUAGAGACUGGAGUGUUUAGGUAGGCUGCGGCCGACACCCUCGCUGGGCUUCCGCUUGAAGGUUGCCGAGUACAUGUCGUGUAAACGACGGUAAGUGGUGAGAGCAUGUGUGUCGAAGUACACCCCUGCAGGGUUAACAUCAUCUAUUCGAAUAGCCGUGUCCGCGGAAAUGGACUUCUGGGUUGCCUAUAACAGUUCAUAGACAAGUGAAAGUGGAUACUCUAAAAUGCGCAAGAUAAGCGUGAGUGCUAUGGAUGGCGUUCUCGUAGGGAGACGGGAGCGGAUCCAUAGUGGUGUAUUGGUAUGGUGAAUUUGUGGACUCGUGUGCGCCACCUCAAAAGAGUUACUUGCAGUCGUAGUUCAGGAUAGCCACCGAGUCAAAGCUGGCUUGCUGCAGUCAAACUCCACCACCCCCCUUUGUUGAUACCGAUGCAUAUGUAGCUAGUUCUGAUGUAAGUCUUGCUGGGUACAUUUGUACUCACGUUUGCCUAUUUUAUGUUUUGCAGAGAGACGCCAGUCUCGCUAGUAGUUCCGUGUGGACUUCGACGUUUAGCUUGAUACCUCAGCUACGAUCUUGUGCCCUCGGCAGGAUCUAGUAAAUAGUCAGGCUUCUCAGCCUUUUUCAUUUGUAGAUGUCUGUACUCAGACAUGUAAAGCUUCCGCAUGUGUUUGACUUGUAUGCUCUGAAUGUUGGGUCAUGAGACCCAUGUUUGUAAUAUCUGGCUCUUCGGGGCCUAAUGAAUAAAUACUCUGAGUCGUAGAGUCUUGUUGUGAUGCCAUGUUGUAUUUGCACAUAUCGAGCAUAUUGUGUGUAUGAUUGAAAUGCUUGGUAUGUGUGGGAUCCGCCAAUCUAGUUGUCUAUCCUUAGCAGCCUCUCUUAUGGGGAAAUGUAGUCUAGUGCCUCCUUGAGCCAUAGUAGUCCGCUACAGCCCGGUUCACCGGAGUCCUGCUAGCCCAGCACUACUGCUCCGGAACACUUGACUGGCCGGCAUGUGAUUCACUUCGUUCCUGUGUCUGUCCCUUCGGGGAAAUGUCACGCGGUGACAUCCGGAGUCCUGCUUAGCCUGCUACAGCCCGGGUUCCCGGAGUCCUGUUAGCCCAGUGCUACAGCCCGGAUUCGCACGCUGCUGACCGACACGUUCGAUGUUGAUUCAUGUAUGCCUGUCCCCAUACGUUAGUGCCGCUUUGGGUUCACGACUAGCCAUGUCGGCCCGGGUUCUCUGUCAUAUGGAUGCUAGCGACAUUGUCAUAUACGCGAGCCAAAAGGCGCAAACGGUCCCGGGCCAUGGUAAGGCGACACCCGUGGGAGUACCGUGCGUGAGGCCGCAAAGUGAUAUGAGGUGUUACAGGCUAGAUCGGUGUGACUUGGAAUCGGGGUCCCGACAGCGUUGGUAUCAGAGCCUGACUGCUAUCUUUUUCUUCUUCUUCUUCUUCUUCUUCUUCUUCUUGGACAAAUCUAUGUGCCCUUUGACCAGUCAUUAUGACCAUUCACUUUGGCUUGGUGAUCAAGGCAAAUCUUGUGAAUGAUUUGAUCCAGAUCCGAAUGAAAUCCCAAUCUCCUGUGCUGAAGAAUUGUCAGAGCCUUGUUAACAUCCUCAUAAGAUUCUUCAAGCUGCUUGAUGACAAACUUGGAUUUUGUAUCUUUCAUACGGUUGUCGAGCUCCUUGAGUUGUGUAGUGAGGUCAUUGAUCUCAACUGAAUCAUUUCUCAUAUCUUGGAUCAGAUCAGAUGCUUGAGUAAUUACUUUAGAGGGAAUGGGCAAAGAUGCCACUUCUCCAUCAAACAAAUCUUCGACAAAUCUGUCCAGUUGCUCCAUGAUGAACGUAUGAUUGAAAUAAUGUGGUGCAUUAGAGUCAUCUUGAGUCUAUGCAGCAGCUUGAGCAGAAGGAGUAGACUAUGCCACAUUCCGUUCGGUCGGAGGCAUAGAGGCCAAAGGUUGAGUCAGUUGUGGAGCAAAUUUGACAGCCUUUACUUUCACAACACUAUCACUUGGAGCCUUUUGCUUAGUAGCAGGGGCUUUGAUUUGCUUCGCCUUCUCUUUCGGAAGCUUUUCUCCUAGCUUGGCUGAGUGUUGGAAAUAUGCCCUAUAGGCAAUAAUAAAGUGGUUAUUAUUAUAUUUCCUUGUUCAUGAUAAUUGUCUGUUGUUCAUGCUUUAAUUGUAUUAACCGGAAACCGUAAUGCAUGUGUGAAUACAUAGACCGUGAUAUGUCCCUAGUAAGCCUCUAGUUGACUAGCUCGUUGAUCAAUAGAUGGUUGUGGUUUCGUCACCAUGGACAUUGGAUGUCGUUGAUAACGGGAUCACAUCAUUAGGAGAAUGAUGUGAUGGACAAGACCCAAUCCUAAGCAUAACACAGGAUCGUGUAGUUCGUUUUGCUAGAGCUUUUCUAAUGUCAAGUAUCGCUUCCUUAGACCAUGAGAUUGUGCAACUCCCGGAUAUCGUAGGAAUGCUUUGGGUGUACCAAACGUCACAACGUAACUGGGUGGCUAUAAAGGUGCACUACAGGUAUCUCCGAAAGUGUCUGUUGGGUUGGCACGAAUCGAGACUGGGAUUUGUCACUCCAUAUGACGGAGAGGUAUCUCUGGGCCCACUCGGUAAUGCAUCAUAAUAAUGAGAUCAAUGUGACUAAGGAGUUAGCCACGAGAUCAUGCGUUACGGAAUGAGUAAAGAGACUUGCCGGUAACAAGAUUGAACGAGGUAUGAGGAUACCGACGAUCGAAUCUCGGGCAAGUAACAUACCGAUGGACAAAGGGAAUUGUAUACGGGAUUGAUUGAAUCCCCGACAUCUUGGUUCAUCCGAUGAGAUCAUUGUGGAACAUGUGGGAACCAACAUGGGUAUCCAGAUCCCGCUGUUGGUUAUUGGCUGCAGAGAUGUCUCGGUCAUGUCUGCAUGGUUCCCGAACCCGUAGGGUCUACACACUUAAGGUUCGGUGACACUAGAGUUGUUAUGGGAAGUUGUAUGUGGUUACCGAAGGUUGUUCGAAGUCCCGGAUGAGACACCGGAUGUUAUGAGGAGUUCCGGAAUGGUCCAGAGGUGAAGAAUUAUAUAUGGGAAGUCCAGUUUCAGUCGCCGGAAUAAUUUCGGGUGUUAUCGGUAUUGUACCGGGACCACCGAAAGGUGUCCGGGGGUCCACCGGGUGGGGCCACCUGCCCCGGUGGGCCAAGUGGGCUGAACAAGGGUAGGAACCAGCCCCCUGGUGGGCUGGUGCGCCAAGGGCCCAAGGCGCCUCCCACCAAACUUGGGGGCAAGUUCCCCCCCUUGGCCGCCACCCCCCUUGUAGAUGGGAUCUAAGGGGGCCGGCCCCCUUCCCCGUUCACCCUAUAAAUAGAGGGGGGUGGGAGGGCAGCAGCACCUCUUCCCUGGCGCAGCCCUCCCCCUCUCCAACACCUCCUCCUCCUCCAUAGUGCUUGGCGAAGCCCUGUCGGAGAACUGCAAGCUCCACCACCACGCCGUCGUGCUGCCGGAGCUCUCCCUCAACUUCUCCUCUCCCGAUGCUAGAUCAAGAAGGAGGAGACGUCCCCGGGCUGUACAUGUGUUGAACGCGGAGGCGCCGUCGGUUUGGCGCUAGAUCGGAUCUUCCGCGAUUUGAAUCGCCGCGAGUACGACUCCAUCAUCCGCGUUCCUUGUAACGCUUACGCUUAGCGAUCUUCAAGGGUAUGAAGAUGCACUCCCUCUCUCUCGUUUCUAGCAUCUCCUAGAUUGAUCUUGGUGACACAUAGUAAAAUUUUAAAUUAUUACUACGUUCCCCAACAGUGGUAUCAGAGCUAGGUCUAUGCGUAGAUUCUAUGCACGAGUAGAACACAAGUAGUUGUGGGCGAUGAUUUGUUCAAUUUGCUUACCGUUACUAGUCUUAUCUUGAUUCGGCGGCAUUGUGGGAUGAAGCGGCCCGGACCGACCUUACACGUAUGCUUACGUGAGACAGGUUCCACCGACUGACAUGCACUUGAUGCAUAAGGUGGCUAGCAGGUGUCUGUCUCUCCCACUUUAGUCGGAUCGGAUUUGAUGAAAAGGGUCCUUAUGAAGGGUAAAUAGCAAUUGGCAUAUCACCGUUCUGGCUUUUGCGUAGGUAAGAAACGUUCUUGCUAGAAACCCAUAGCGGCCACGUAAAACAUGCAACAACAAUUAGAGGACGUCUAACUUGUUUUUGCACGGUAUGCUAUGUGAUGUGAUAUGGCCAAAAGGAUGUGAUGAAUGAUAUAUGUGAUGUAUGAGAUUGAUCAUGUUCUUGUAAUAGGAAUCAUGACUUGCAUGUCGAUGAGUAUGACAACCGGCAGGAGCCAUAGGGGUCGUCUUAAUUUAUUGUAUGACCUGCGAGUCAAUGUAAACUCCAUGUAAUUACUUUACUUCAUUGCUAACCGUUAGCCAUAGUAGUAGAAGUAAUAGUUGGCGAGACAACUUCAUGAUGACACGAUGAUGGAGAUCAUGGUGUCAUGCCGGUGACGAAGGUGAUCAUGCCGCGCCUCGAAGAUGGAGAUCAAAGGCGCAAGAUGAUAUUGGCCAUAUCAUGUCACUUUAUGAUUUGCAUGUGAUGUUUGUCAUGUUUAUAUCUUAUUUGCUUAGAAUGACGGUAGCAUAAAUAAGAUGAUCCCUCACUAAAAUUUCAAGAAAAGUGUUCCCCCUAACUGUUCACCAUUGCGAAGGUUCUUUGUUUUGAAGCACCACGUGAUGAUCGGGUGUGAUAGAUUCUAACGUUCGCAUACAACGGGUGUAAGCCAGAUUUACACAUGCAAAACACCUAGGUUGACUUGACGAGCCUAGCAUGUACAGACAUGGCCUCGGAACACGAGAGACCGAAAGGUCGAACAUGAGUCAUAUAGUAGAUACGAUCAACAUGGAGAUGUUCACCGUUGAUGACUAGUCCGUCUCACGUGAUGAUCGGACACGGCCUAGUCGAUUCGGAUCAUGUAUCACUUAGAUGACUAGAGGGAUGUCUAUCUGAGUGGGAGUUCAUUAAAUAAUUUGAUUAGAUGAACUUAAUUAUCAUGAACUUAGUCUAAAAUAUCUUUACAAUAUGUCUUGUAGAUCAAAUGGCCCAUGCUAAUGUUGCCCUCAACUUCAACGCGUUCCUAGAGAAAACCAAGCUGAAAGACGAUGGUAGCAACUAUACGGAUUGGGUCCGUAACUUGAGGAGUCAUCCUCAUAGCUGCCAAGAAAAGCAUAUGUCCUUGAAGCACCGCUAGGUGAAGCACCCAUUUUCCCAGCAACUCAAGACGUUAUGAAUGCCUGGCAGUCGCGUAGUGAUGAUUAGUCCCUGGUUCAGUGCGGCAUGCUUUACAGCUUAGAACCGGGGCUCCAAAAGCGUUUUGAGUAGCACGGAGAAAAUAUGAGAUGUUCCAAGAGCUGAAAAUGGUUUUCCAAGCUCAUGCCCGGGUCGAGAGACAUGAAGUCUCCGACAAGUUCUACAGUUGUAAGAUGGAGGAAAACAGUUCUGUCAGCGAGCAUAUACUCAAAAUGUCUGGGUUGCACAACCGCUUGUCUCAGCUGGGAGUUAAUCUUCUGGAUGACUCGGUCAUUGACAGGAUCCUCCAGUCGCUUCCACCUAGCUACAAGAGCUUUGUGAUGAACUACAAUAUGCAAGGGAUGGAGAAGUCCAUUCCUGAGUUAUAUUCAAUGCUGAAAUCAGCGGAGGUGGAGAUCAAAAAAGGAACAUCAAGUGUUGAUGGUGAAUAAGACCACUAUUUUCAAGAAGGGCAAGGGUAAGAAAAUCUUCAAGAAGGACGGCAAGGGAGUUGUUGCGCCCGAUAAAUCAGUUGCCGGGAAGAAGCCAAAGAAUGGACCCAAGCCCGAGACUCAGUGCUUUUAUUGCAAGGGAAAUGGUCACUGGAAGCGGAACUGCCCAAGUACUUAGCGGAUAAGAAGGCCGGCAAUACCAAAGGUAUAUAUGAUAUACAUGUUAUUGAUGUGUACCUUACCAGCACUCAUAGUAGCUCCUGGGUAUUUGAUACCGGUGCGGUUGCUCAUAUUUGUAACUCAAAACAGGAGCUGCGGAAUAAGCGGAGACUGGCGAAGGACGAGGCGACGAUGCACGUCGGGAAUGGUUCCAAGGUCGAUGUGAUCGCCGUCGGCACGCUACCUCUACAUUUACCUACGGGGUUAGUUUUAAACCUCAAUAAUUGUUAUUUAGUGCCAGCUUUGAGCAUGAACAUUGUAUCUGGAUCUUGUUUAAUGUGAGAUGGCUACUCAUUUAAAUUUGAGAAUAAUGGUUGUUCUAUUUAUAUGAGAGAUAUGUUUUAUGGUCAUGCCUCGCUGGUCAAUGGUUUAUUUUUAUUGAAUCUCGAACGUGAUGUUACACAUAUUCAUAGUGUGAAUGACAAAAGAUGUAAGGUUGAUAAUGAUAGUCCCAAAUACUUGUGGCACUGCCGCCUUGGUCACAUUGGUGUCAAACGCAUGAAGAAACUCCAUGCAGAUGGACUUUUUGAGUCUCUUGAUUAUGAAUCAUUUGACACGUGCGAACCAUGCCUCAUGGGCAAAAUGACCAAGACUCCAUUCUACGGAACAAUGGAGCGAGCAAUCAACUUAUUGGAAAUCAUACAUACUGAUGUGUGUGGUCCAAUGAGCAUUGAGGCUCGCGGUGGCUAUCAUUAUGUUCUCAUCCUCAGUGAUGACUUAAGUAGAUAUGGGUAUGUCUACUUAAUGAAACACAAGUCUGAGACCUUUGAAAAGUUCAAGGAAUUUCAGAGUGAGGUAGAUAAUCAACGUGACAGGAAAAUAAAGUUCCUACGAUCAGAUCGUGGAGGAGAAUAUUUGAGUCACGAGUUUGGCACGCACCUGAAGAAAUGUGGAAUUGUUUCACAACUCACGCAGCCUGGAACACCUCAGCGUAAUGGUGUGUCCGAACGUCGUAAUCGCACUCUAUUGGAUAUGGUGCGAUCUAUGAUGUCUCUUACCGAUCUACUGCUAUCAUUUUGGGGUUAUGCUUUAGAGACUGCCGCAUUCACUUUAAAUAGGGCUCCGUCGAAAUCCAUUGAGACGACACCGUAUGAAUUAUGGUUUGGGAAGAAACCUAAGCUGUCAUUUCUGAAAGUUUGGGGAUGCGAUGCUUAUGUCAAGAAACUUCAACCUGAAAAGCUCGAACCCAAGUCGGAAAAAUGCGUCUUCAUUGGAUACCCUAAGGAAACUAUUGGGUAUACCUUCUACCUCAGAUCCGAAGGCAAGAUCUUUGUUGCCAAGAAUGGAUCCUUUCUGGAGAAAGAGUUUCUCUCGAAAGAAGUAAGUGGGAGGAAAGUAGAACUUGAUGAGAUACUGCCUCUUGAGCCAGAGAGUAGCGCAGCUCAGGAAGAUUUUUCUGUGGUGCCUGCACUGACUAGAGAGGAAGUUGAUGAUGAUGAUCAUGAAACUUCAGAUCAAGUUACUACUGAACUUCGUAGGUCCACGAGGACACGUUCCGCACCAGAGUGGUACGGCAACCCUGUCCUGGAAAUCACGUUGUUAGACAAUGGUGAACCUUCGAACUAUGAAGAAGCGAUGGCGGGCCUGGAUUCCAACAAAUGGCUUGAGGCCAUGAAAUCUGAGAUAGGAUCCAUGUAUGAAAACGAAGUAUGGACUUUCACAGACUUGCCCGAUGAUCGGCAAGCCAUAGAGAAUAAAUGGAUCUUUAAGAAGAAGACUGACGCGGAUGGUAAUGUGACCAUCUAUAAGGCUCGGCUUGUCGCUAAGGGUUAUCGACAAGUUCAAGGGGUUGACUACGAUGAGACCUUCUCACCCAUAGCGAAGCUGAAGUCCAUCUGAAUCAUGUUAGAAAUUGCCGCAUUCUACGAUUAUGAGAUAUGGCAAAUGGACGUCAAAAUGGCAUUCCUUAAUGGUUUCCUUAAGGAAGAAUUGUAUAUGAUGCAGCCGGAAGGUUUUGUCGAUCCUAAGAAUGCUGACAAGGUAUGCAAGCUCCAGCGCUCCAUGGGCUGGUGCAAGCAUCUCGGAGUUGGAACAUUCGCUUUGAUGAAAUGAUCAAAGCUUUUGGUUUAUGCAGACUUAUGGAGAAGCCUAUGUUUACAAGAAAGUGAGUGGGAGCUCUGUAGCAUUUCUCAUAUUAUAUGUGGAUGACAUACUGUUGAUGGGAAAUGAUAUAGAACUCUUGGAAAGCAUAAAGGCCUACUUGAAUAAGUGUUUUUCAAUGAAGGACCUUGGAGAAGCUGCUUACAAAUUAGGCAUCAAGAUCUAUAGAGAUAGAUCGAGACGCCUCAUUGGUCUUUCACAAAGCACAUACCUUGACAAGAUAUUGAAGAAGUUCAAUAUGGAUCAGUCCAAGAAGGGGUUCUUACCUGUAUUGCAAGGUGUGAGAUUGAGCACGGCUCAAUGCCUGACCUCGGCAGAAGAUAGAGAAAAGAUGAGUGUCACCCCCUAUGCCUCGGCCAUAGGGUCUGUUAUGUAUGCCAUGUUGUGUACCAGACCUGAUGUGAACCUUGCCGUAAGUUUGGUUGGGAGGUACCAAAGUAACCCCGAUAUGGAACACUGCACAGCGGUCAAGAAUAUCCUGAAGUACCUGAAAAGGACUAAGGAUAUGUUUCUCAUUUAUGGAGGUGACAAAGAGCUUGUCGUAAAGGGUUACGUCGAUGCUAGCUUAGACACAGAUCUGGAUGACUCCAAGUCAUGAACCGGAUACGUGUACAUUUUGAAUGGUGCGGCAGUCAGCUGGUGCAGUUGCAAGCAAAGCGUCGUGGCGGGAUCUACAUGUGAAGCGGAGUACAUAGCAGCCUCGGAGGCAGCACAGGAAGCAGUCUGGAUGAAGGAUUUCAUCACCGACCUAGGAGUUAUUCCCAAUGCGUCGGGCGGAUGACUCUCUUCUCUGACAAGACUGGAGCUAUUGCCCUUGCCAAGGAGCCCAGGUUUCACAAGAAGAACAGGCAUAUCAAGUGUCGCUUCAACUCCAUUCGUGAAUAUAUUCAAGAUGGGGACAUAGAUAUUUGUAAAGUGCAUAUGGAUCUGAAUGUCGCUGAUCCGUUGACUAAACCUCUUCCACGAGCAAAACAUGAUCAACACCAGAACUCUAUGGGUGUUUGAUUCAUCACAAUGUAACUAGAUUAUUGACUCUAGGUCAAGUGGGAGACUGUUGGAAAUAUGCCCUAGAGGCAAUAAUAAAGUGGUUAUUUUUAUAUUUCCUUGUUCAUGAUAAUUGUCCGUUGUUCAUGCUUUAAUUGUAUUAACCGGAAACCAUAAUACAUGUGUGAAUACAUAGACCGUAAUAUGUCCCUAGUAAGCCUCUAGUUGACUAGCUCGUUGAUCAAUAGAUGGUUGUGGUUUCCUGACCAUGGACAUUGGAUGUCGUUGAUAAUGGGAUCACAUCAUUAGGAGAAUGAUGUGAUGGACAAGACCCAAUCCUAAGCAUAGCACAAGAUCGUGUAGUUCGUUUUGCUAGAGAUUUUCUAAUGUCAAGUAUCGUUUCCUUAGACCAUGAGAUUGUGCAACUCCCGGAUACCGUAGGAAUGCUUUGGGUGUACCAAAUGUCACAAUGUAACUGGGUGGCUGUAAAGGUGCACUAUAGGUAUCUCCGAAAGUGUCUGUUGGGUUGGCACGAAUCGAGACUGGGAUUUGUCACUCCGUAUGACGGAGAGGUAUCUCUGGGCCCACUCGGUAAUGCAUCAUCAUAAUGAGCUCAAUGUGACUAAGGAGUUAUCCACGGGAUCAUGCAUUACGGAACGAGUAAAGAUACUUGCCGGUAACAAGAUUGAACGAGGUAUGAGGAUACCGACGAUCGAAUCUCGGGCAAGUAACAUACCGAUGGACAAAGGGAAUUGUAUACGAGAUUGAUUGAAUCCCCAACAUCGUGGUUCAUCCGAUGAGAUCAUCGUGGAACAUGUGGGAACCAACAUGGGUAUCCAAAUCCCGCUGUUGGUUAUUGGCCGCAGAGAUGUCUCGGUCAUGUCUGCAUGGUUCCCGAACCCGUAGGGUCUACACACUUAAGGUUCAGUGACGUUAGAGUUGUUAUGGGAAAUUGUAUGUGAUUACCGAUGGUUGUUCGGAGUCCCGGAUGAGAUCCCGGACGUCAGGAGGAGUUCCGGAAUGGUCCGGAGGUGAAGAAUUAUAUAUGGGAAGUCCAGUUUCAGCUGCCGGAAUAAUUUCGGGUGUUAUCGGUAUUGUACCGGGACCACCGAAAGGUGUCCGGGAGUCCACCGGGUGGGGCCACCUGCCCCGGUGAGCCAAGUGGGCUGAACAAGGGUAGGAACCAGCCCCCUGGUGGGCUGGUGGGCCCCCAAGUGCCUAAGGCGCCUUGGGUUGAAAACCCUAGGGGUGGGGGCGCCUCCCACCAAACUUGGGGGGGCAAGUUCCCCCUGGCCGCCGCCCCCCUUGUAGAUGGGAUCUAAGGGGGCCGCCCCCUUCCCCCUUCACCCUAUAAAUAGAGGGGGGUGGGAGGGCAGCAACACCGCUUCCCUGGCGCAGCCCUCCCCCUCUCCAACACCUCCUCCUCCUCCAUAGUGCUUGGCGAAGCCCUGUCAAAGAACUGCUGAAAGGAUCGAUAUAGUUGACCAGAGGGGGGGUGAAUAGGCAGCUAACAAUUUUUAGCUCUUCUUUACCAAUUUAAACUUUGCAUCGAAGUAGGUUGUCUAGAUAUGCAACUAGGUGAGCAACCUAUCUGAUGCAACAACAACAAGCACAAAAGCAAGCAAGGAUGUCACACAAUAUAAGCUUGCACAAGUAAAGGUACGAGAUAACCAAGAGUGGAGGCAGUGAAGACGAGGAUGUGUUACCGAAGUUCCUUCCUUUUGAGGGGAAGUACGUCUCCGUUGGAGCGGUGUGGAGGCACAAUGCUCCCCAAGAAGCCACUAGGGCCACUGUAUUCUCCUCACGCCCUCACACAAUGCGAGAUGUCGUGAUUCCACUAUUGGUGCCCUUGGAGGCGGCAACCGGACCUUUACAAACAAGGUUGGGGCAAUCUCCACAACUUAAUUGGAGGCUCCCAACAACACCACGAAGCUUCACCACAAUGGAAUAUGGCUCCACGGUGACCUCAACCGGGUGCUCAAACACCCAAGAGUAACAAGAUCCGCAAGGGAUUAGUGGGGGGAAUCAAAUUUCUCUUGGUGGAAGUGUAGAUCGUGGCCUUCUCAACCAAUCCCUAGAAAAUCAACAAGUUUGAUUGGCUAGGGAGAGCGAUCAGGCGAAAAUGGAGCUUAGAGCAACAAUGGAGCUUGGGGGUGGAAGAGGUAGUCAACUCGGUGAAGAAGACUCCCCUUAUAUAGUGAUAGAACAAAUCCAACCGUUAUCCACUUACUCAGCCUGCGACGAGCGGUACUACCGCAUCCGACAAGCGGUACUACCGCACGAGCCCACGGUACUACCAUUGCCGCAGCAUGAGCUAGCCUAGGCCUGUAGCAUAGGAGCCGAGGGCGGUAGAGCCGCUGGCGCGGUACUACCGCUCCCCCUUGCGGUACUACCGCAAGGCAGGGUUGGUCUAGACUGGGAAGGCACAAACAUAUAAAAAUACAUUCGUGACUACUUCCGCUGAGUUCCGAUCUAUGCAAAAAACCGACACGGUACUACCGCGUAGGGCGCGGAUGUAAAAAAUUACAUCCGCCCCUGUCGGCGUUCUGGGAACAGGGGUCCCCAGACUUGCCUGCCUGCGGCCCACGGCGUGGCUGCACCAGCGGCCCUGUACGGCCUACCUUCACCAGCAAACACUCAAGACCCUCGUGAGGGGGAUGACACAAGACCUCCUCAGGUGCAGCCUCCCUAGGCUGGCUCGCGAGGAGCGGAGAGAUCAAGGCAAGGGGCACCUCACGAGGUUCCUGUAGCGUGAGCCAUGAUGACCAAGGUCAGGCUGGCGCCAGGCGGGCGCAGAGUACCCAUUUCCUCUUUGGUGCUAAAGGAGCAAGCGCAUGCGAGGAGUCCCGAGGCCUCAGGCAAAGGUUUCCAUAUCGGUGCAACGAGACCAAGACCAGCAGGACGGCAGGACGGAGGUCAUCACGGAGCCCGCGAUGGUGUCACCACCAGAGCCUUUGGCAGGUGAAGACCACCUUUUGUCAGGAUAACUUGUACUAGUUGUCCCCCUUCAAAUUGGCCAUUGUGGGAUUCCUUCCCGCCUAAUAUUUGGGAAGAGGACCCGGGCCUCUAUAAAUAGGACUAGCCACCACCAUAGGAAGCAACGGAUCUGGGAUCGGAGCCAUUCCAUCCUUAGCCACCACCAAAGCUCACCGAGCACAAGAACACCUCUCCUCAGGAGGCUGUUCUUCCCUUGUACUCCCUCCGUUUCUUUUUACUCCGCAUAUAAGAUUUGGUCAAAGUCAAACUACACAAAGUUUCACCAAAUUUAUAUAAAAAAAAUAUAAACAUCUACAAUACUAAAACUAUAUAGUAUGAAAAUACGUUUCAUGGUGCAUCUGAUAAUAUUGAUUUCAUAUUGUGAAUGUUUAUAUUUUUUUAAUAUAAAGUUAGUCAAACUCUACAAAGCUUGACUUUGACCAAACCUUAUAUGCGGACUAAAAAGAAACGGAGGGAGUACUUGUUCAUCCUCAGCCUACAAGGCAAUCCACCACACCACACUGGAGUAGGGUAUUACACCACAUCGGUGGCCCGAACCAGUAUAAACUCUUGUGUCCCUUGUUCUUCGGGUUCGACGUGUUGAGCUUUGAGAUCGUGGUGAGCGAGCGAGCUAGGGCAAGGGAGAGAUCUUCGUGCGCACCCCAGAGUUCGAACCUUAAGGGUUUUCCCGGAACCCAUAAUCCCACAUUUGGCGCGCCAGGUAGGGGUGCGCCGAACCUCUCUUCUUCAUCGACCAACUUGCCGCUGCCCGACGACUCCGAUGUCCGAGGAUCCAAGGGCCCAAACUGAUCGAUGGGCGGCCUGGCCCGCUCGGGCACCACCAUCUGCUCCAGAAGACCUCGACUCCGCGCUCCAGGCGGCCCCCGCGCUGCCCCACGCCCGCGGACGCGGUCAGCGCAGACCGACGCCCACCGCCCUUGCGCCGCGGCGCGUGUGCACCGCCGCGCGAGCGUCUGGCUACACUGCGGCAACGGCGGCACACACCCGACGGGAACAGGCAAACAUGCGGGCCGCGCUCAUCGUGGCGCGGGAGCUGCUGCGGUGCAGGCUAGUGGAGAGCGGCCACGACGCGCUGCUGGAACGGGUCGCUGAACUCCUGGACACCGCUUGCAGAGGUAUGCCACCCUUCUGCUCCAUGAUCACGCCCGAGGUUGUGGCGGAAGCAUGCGCGAGGCCCCGGCGAGCGCGCGCGCCCCCCGGGACGCCAGGAGGAUCCAGCAACACGAGCGCGGGAAACGGCGCCAGCCGUCCUGCCUCGACCGCGGCGUUGCCAGGAGGGACAAGUGCUGAUGGCCCGCCGCAAGGGCGUGCCAGGAUGACGCGCAGCGGCCAGGGCCAGGCGCCGCAGUUCGUGGUCCAAGGCGCGGGGCACCUGGGCGAGGAUCCUGGCAAGGCGAACACGGACGCCUACGUGCCCCACAUGGUGCACCUGGAAUACCUGCCGGGGGAAGGCUCGGACCCGUUCCCCGGGCUAGGAUGGACAGCUGGAAGGCCUGAGGCGAGGGCCUUUCACGGGCCAUCCGGAGACUUCACCGACCCCUUCAGUGACGAUGAUGGUGGGGUACAGCCAGUGUCGCAGGAGCAAACUUACGCUAACCCUGAACUGCAGGAGAUCCCGAUCGUGGUAGCAGCCGAAGACCACAGAGCAGUGGCCCAGCCUACGACAGGAGUGGUGCUCUAGGGGCUGCGCGGGAGAGGCCCGGAGCCAGGCCCUCCCCCACGCCACACGGAGCCAAGCGUGGCACGGAUGUAGGCCCUCAGUCGGGGAAAGCGCCGGCGAGCCUUCCCCCAGCAGAGGGCCCGUGGUCGUCGAGGGUGCCGCCAGCGUCCUCUCUGCCCCUUGGUCUCGUCCUGGUUUCCGGACGCCCCAAUGGUGAUCGAGGGUGGCGCAGGGCGGGGCCCUCGCCUGGCGAUAUGAAGUAAGGCUCACGCCGUUGAAGGUCUCCGCCCGUGACACUCUCACGUAAUAAUGAGUGGGGCUGUACAUGCCCCAGAGUCUCCAGAGUGCCGCUCUCGGGCCUCGGGGGCUCCCGCCCACGUCCUAGUGGAAGCACCAUGCUCCGCGCUGGCCGCCGACACUGUCCCCCAAUGACUAUGCUCACUGCCAGUGAAAGCACUUAGCUCCGCGCUGGUGGGAAGACAAGAAGACUAGCUAGGUGCUGGAUGCGGCCAUUUGCUUUCGACCUCUUUUCUGUAGCUCAAAUUUGCAGCCUCUGAUUUUGAAUUUGAAGUCGUAUUUCCAUUAACAAUCGCGGGGGGGGGGGUGCCUUUUCUCGUUCGUGUUGAUUUCGUGAGUUUCUGGAUUCGUGCCUUGCUUUGAGAUUUGCGUCUGCUACCUACCCCCUCCGAGCCCCUCGCGAGUGGGGGCUGGGCGAGGCAAGCACGCACUACGCGCGCACCCCACCAUCACUGGCGCUCGCUUCUCGCGAGGCCCUCUCGGGCGGACUAGCAGACCCCUAAGGAGAUCAAAACCUCGCGAGCCCGUGAGGGACUACCCUCGGAAGAAAUGCACACCCGCAACUGCCAAAUCAAUUUGAAGCCCGACUGGACUAAGGUAAGUUACGACCGCGAGCCCGCAAGGGGCUCGUGAGCUCACAAAAACGCGUUUUAAGCCUAGCCUAAGGAUUGAAAUGGCAGUCUGUUUACACGAGGGGCUCCCCCUCCCCAAAAUGCUCUUACAUCAUGAGGGGUCAUGCCCAAGCUUUUGCAUGCAGGUUCAAAAUAAAGGGGCGCGGGCUCAGUCGGACAUGUCACUCGCCGCGUCUUCCGAAUCGCUCCCAGACAUGCUGCUGGCGCUAUCCUCACUGUCAUCAACUGCGCCGCCCUCAUCCGCCAUGACCACCACCGCGUCAUCAUCGGAAGCAAAGGCCCGGACUAGAGCAUCCACAUUGUCAUCCACCCAGCGCGCUAGGUUUUCCUGAAUGACCUCGGGCACCGGAGCAAUGGCAGCAUCAAAGUCGAAGUCAGGAUUGAUGUUCUGGAGAUGGCUGAAAACACGGGAAAACACGCGCCCAAGGAGGCCUCGGCUCUUCUCCUCGACAAGCUUGCAGGCCCUCAUGGCCCGGUUCUCCAGGCGUGUCACGACGUCAGUAAAGAAGCGGAGGUGGCCGGCAUAGUCUUCUGCGUGGGGAUGAGGGGCGUGCUCAUCACAAAUGGUGCCCAGUGCCUGGUUGCCCUCGUCCUGAGGUCCCGGAGCAUAGGGAUGUGCUCGCGCAGCAGCGUCUGUCGGCGGAUCGCCUCCUCCCUGCUCUGCUGCGCAAGGGACUCGGCGGUGGUAACUCGCUGCUGAAGAGGGAGCAGCUUGGCACAGGCGGAGGCCAGCUCGGCCUGCACGGAAAUCAGGGCGGCUGCAGCGGCCUUCUCACGCUGCUCCGCCUCAGCCAACCUUGGCCUGAGGGCGCCGGACCGGCCCUCAGCUUCGGCUACCGCGAGCUUCAGCUUCAGGUCAUACCUGUUGGCAAGGUCAGCACGAGCCUCGGCCACCCUGCGGUCAAUCUCCUCCUGGGACCUGUCCUCGCGCGCGCUGGUAGCGUCCUCCGCUUGGGCAACCUGGCGUUCCCUCGUCUCCAACCUCUCAAGUUCAAGACUGCGCUCCGUGGCCUCCAGCAUCAGCGCUUCCUCGCGCCUCAGGACCUCCUCCUCGUCGGACGGUGCCCCCUUCAUCGAUGCCAAGGAAGCUCUGCGCACCUCCACUUGCUGCUCCAGGGAGGCGUUCAGGGCCUGGAGCUCCUGCCUGUGCUUCUUGGCGGUCUCGCAGUGGUGGUCUGCCACCCCGGCCUCCUCCAAGGCCUGGGCGCUGGCCUCGCGCGAGGUUGCCAGGGUUGCCUCGGCCUCCGCGUUGGCACGCUCACGCUGGAGGCGCCCAAGGUUAAUGGCCGCCUUCAGUUGGCGCCAUUCGUCCACCAGUCGGAGGCCCUCGGUUUCAAGACGAGCGUCAACGUCCACAAGUUCUUCCCCAAGCCGGCUCAGCGCGCCCAUCGCCUCUCGGAAGAGCUCGUGACGGACGGCACCCCGCUUGCGCGCAAGCUUGAGCGCGCGACCAAGUCCGUCCUCCACAGCAGGGGUUGUCGAUGGAAUCCGAAGUGGCUCGCUCCCUCCCAGCAGGGGGCUGGAGGCCGGCGCCUUCCCAGUCGCCGUUCGGGCCUCGGCAAAGGCCCGGAGGAGUGGAGGCUCGUUGCUCGAAGAAGAAGCCAGGACCGAGGUUAUCCAGCCACCGUUUAUAACCAGGGGAGGAGCCCUUGGCACACCUUCCGUGCCCUAGACCGGACAAUGAAGGAAGGGCGGCAGGAGCGCGGGAUCAAGGCGCUAGGCCGGCAUGCCCAUCUCUCCCGCCGACCUCGCGCCGAUCGCGGUGGGUUGGCGUGAGGCCCUUAGAGUCAACGGAGGACUCGAGGUAGGAGGAGGUUGCUCUUCGGGAGAUUUCGUUACUCUGGCGGAAGGGGGCCUGAGAAACCACGGUCAGGAGGGAAGACGGCACCCAAGAAAUUACAAAGACAAGGUACUCACUCGUCCAUGGCAAUGUACUUCCUCUGCUUCAAUGGCUGGAAGGUAUCACCGCUGCAGCUUGGAGACCCCUUCCUCUUGUGAAGCGCAUCGAAGUCCAGUCGGAGCCGGCCGAAGCCUUGGGUGUGGUCACAAGCGCUAGGCACAGCUGGUGAGGCUCCUGAGGGGGCGACCUCGGGAACGCUGGGCUGCGGGGAGCCCUCGGGCUCCGCUUCGUGGCGACCUGUCGGGGCUUUGGGGGCUCCGGCCUCAGGAGCAGUGGAUCGUGUAGCCCCCUCGACCGUUUCCGCAGGACGGAGGUCACGAGCCCCAGGAGAUGGCGCCUCGGGAGCCUUGAGCGGCGUCGGCACAGCAACAGUCGCGUCUCCAGCACUCGACAACGCUCGCCCCCCUGCGCCCACUCUUGGGGUGAGCUCCGCGCUGGUGGCAAGCAGGGGAACCACAGAGACAGGGUUCUCGCGAGGCCCUUCAAGACCGGCCGGACGUAGUCCCCACUCGUCGAACGUGGGCAUCUGCUUCGCGAACUGCUCCCUGUUCGAAUAGCAGUACAAGAGACAACCCUCCUCCGGCAUGUCGCCUGGUGAUGGGUCUCCGUCAGGACCUCGAGCACCAUUCGUCACGCCUCAAGAGGAAGCCCGGACUCGUGAAGCCUCAUACGGUCCUUGCUGCCGAAUAAGGCCCACAUCGGUUGAGAAUGGCGCUGGAGCAGAGCGACGCGGCGCCGGAUGAACUCCUUCACCACCAUGGGAGCAGUCACGCCAAGAUCCUUCAGCCUCUUCAACCGGAGCCAGACGAAGGCAAGGCGUGGGUCAGCGAGCCUCUCGUGGCCCCAACCGAAGCUGGGAAUGGCGGCUGCCGACGGAGGCGAGAGCAGGGGGCUGAGCACGCCGACAUCCACAAACACCCACCGCGUCCGGAACCCGCUCGCGGACGGCGGGAGCUCAAAGUCAAUCCCCGAGCCGGCCGUCGCGGCCAUGGCCUGGAAGCUCAGGCAUCCCGAGCAUUACCGAGGAUCGGUCAGGUGAAGCGAGAAGAAAUGGCGAAGCAGGGCCAGGGAAGGAGCAAUGCCCACCAUGGCCUCGCAGACGAAGGCGAAGACGGCAAGAAGGGCGACGGAUUGGGGAUCUAACUGCAGCAUAUGGAUCUGAUAAUGGGAAGGCAUAAUGUUGAAGAAGCUGGGGAAAGGAGGAAUCAGGCCGGCCAACAGGGCGUCAAUGAGGAAGUGGACCUCGGCGGCUGUCCUAUCAACAGAGGCACGGGAUGCCGGCCAGGCCACCGUCUCCCCCCAUUCGUUGAAGCCGCCGGCAAGUGCUGGGCGGACCUUGUCCAUGGCUUCCUGGUUGAGCACCACCGACUGCCCAACAGCAGGUUCAAUGGCUGGAGGUGGUUCAGCCGAGGACUGGGACUUCUUCUUCCCCUUCUCCGUUCGACUCGGCGCUAUGGCGACGGAGAGGGCAGGGCUCAGGUCGGAUUGGAAGAGGAGGUUGUUGUUUCGGGAAGGCGGAAGAGUGGGGGAGUGCGUCCCCAGCAAUGGGGGAAUAACUGUGUAGGUCGCGGUGGCCGCCUAGCCAGGCGGAUAUCAAGGCUGCGUGGGGAAGCGGGGAAUCCCACGUCCCAUCAGUCGCCACGCAUCAAUCAAGGCCGCAGGCGGUUGGGGCCUGCAGCGCUUCGCACUUGUCCCUUGGCUUUGCCUCGAAGCCAAGUCCGAGCGCGCCUUGGGCCCAGGGGCUACUGUCGGUGUUCUGGGAAUGGGGGUCCCCAGACUUCCCUGCCUGUGGCCACGGCGUGGCUCCACCAGUGGACCUCACGGCCCACCUUCACUAGCAAACACUCAAGACCCUCGCGAGGGGCCAAGCCUCGCGAGGGGGAUGACACAAGACCUCCUCAGGGGCAGCCUCCCAAGGCCGGCUCGCGAGGAGCGGAGAGAUCAAGGCAAGGGGCACCUCACAAUGUUCCCGUGACGUGAGCCAUGAUGACCAAGGUCAGGCUGGCGCCAGGCGGGCACCAGCAGGCGCAGAGUACCCAUUUCCUCUUUAGUGCUAAAGGAGCAAGCGCAGGCGAGGAGUCCCGAGGCCUCAGGCAAAGGUUUCCAUAUCGGUGCAGCGAGACUAAGACCAGCAGGACGGCAGGACGGAGGUCAUCGCGGAGCCCACGACGGCGUCAACACCAGAGCCUUUGGCAGGCGUAGACCACCUUUUGUCAGGAUAACUUGUACUAGUUGCCCCCCUUCAAAUUGGCCGUUGUGGGAUCCCUUCCCGCCUCAUAUUUGGGAAGAGGACCCGGGCCUCUAUAAAUAGGACUAGCCACCACCAUAGGAGGCAACGGAUCUGGGAUUAGAGCCAUUCCAUCCUUAGCCACCACCAAAGCUCACCGAGCACAAGAACACCUCUCCUCAGGAGGCUGUUCUUCCCUUGUACUUGUUCAUCCUCAUCCUACAAGGCAAUCCACCACACCACACUGGAGUAGGGUAUUACACCACAUCGGUGGCCCGAGCCAGUAUAAACUCUUGUGUCCCUGGUUCUUCGGGUUCGACGUGCUGAGCUUUGAGAUUGUGGUGGGCGAGCGAGCUAGGGCAAGGGAGAGAUCUUCGUGCGCACCCCAGAGUUCGAACCUUAAGGGUUUUGCCGGAACCCGUAAUCCGACAAUGCCUACUUCCACUCAUGCUGCUGUGCGUGGCCAGAGCUCACGGUACUACCGCGCCCAUGGCGCGGUACUACCGUGUAGGGCGCGGAUGUAAAAAUUACAUCCACUCCUACAACCGCUCGAGCAGCUGAGCCUGGCCUGAGGCCACGGUACUACCACUCCCAAGGAGCGGUACUACCGUGAGCACCUGCGGUACUACCGCGUCUGAGGCCGAUACUACCGCAAGGGCCUGCGGUACUACCGCCCCGAAGAGCAAUACUACCGCAUGCCCCAGUUCAGCAACACUAGAGUCCUUCAUUUUGCAGAGACACGGAGAAACGGAGGAUGCCCCAAAGUGCCAAAGGAAAGGUGGUGCAAAAAGGAACAGACGUGUACGUGUUGAUUCCACCCAAACCUUUCCAACGCGGACCCCCUCUUAAUAGUACGGCUUUCCUACGACUCAAAUCCACCGAAAAGAAACUAGAGAAACGACGUCUUCAAUAGUCUUCGAGGGGCACCAAAUCUUCUUGUGCCUAAUCAUGAUAUGUCUGAAAUGCUCAAUGCACACGAUUAGUCCGCAAAUGCAUUGUCAUCAAUCAUCAAAACCAUUAAGGGAUAAAUAUGCCCUUACAAUCUCCCCCUUUUUGGUGGAUUGAUGACAAUACGGGAUUUGCACAUGAUAUAAAAUAGAACAUAGGCAAACCCCACAUCUAUAAAAUAUAGACGGGCUCCCCGUAGAUGUGUGCUUUCUAGAGAAAUGCUUUGGACUGCACGGCACACAUACUAGGAUCAACACUCCCCCUAUAUUUUAUAGACAAGGCAUAUCUUGCAACAAUAUAGCUAACACUAAGCACGGAGGCAAGAUAAUAACUAUGAGCAUAAAGUAAAGGGCACAGGAUAGCAUAGGCACAUGGGCUACUAAGUACGAAAGACAAUAAGGUACGCUAGAGUGCAUAUGUCUUACACCAUAUGAAAGAGAACCUGGUCUCACAAGCACAAAUCAAACCAAAGCAAACGAGGUCCAACUGAACGAAAGCAAAGCAACAAAGCGAAACAACACGACACACGAAACACAAAUCCUACACUCUCUCCCCCUUUGGCAUCGAGACACCAAAAAGGCAGAGGGGACACCUACGACACAAGUGGUGGCUCAAGCUGAAGCGAUCACUCGUCACGCUCCUCGUCGGACUCGGCAGUGGGGAUGGGCUCCUCCUCAGAUUCAGUCCACCGGUAGCCCUGCUUCGUCAUCCAUUCUGCCUCUGGCGUGAUGUGCUUCUCGGACCCGCUGGAUAUCUCCUUGCCAAACGUCCUCAAGAUCCUCUUGUCGCGGCGGCGACUCUCCUUGGAAGCAACAUGGGUCCGGUACUGGCCCUUGGCCUGCAUACAGAACAGAGCCUUCAUCUUGUUCUUCAGCUUCUUAGCCCAGGAAGGCUCAGAAGAGGGAGGAGCAUAUCCAGCAGAGCUGUCCUCAUCCGCUUCCUCCUCCUCAAUCUCAUCCUUGUCCACGUCCAUUUGAGCAGCCUCUGCCUCAGCACGGGUAGUUGUCGGCAUUCUGGGAACGGGGGUCCCCAGACUUGCCUGCCUGCGGCCCACGGCGUGGCUCUGCGCGUGGGCCCGUACGGCCCAUCUUCAUUAACAAGGCAUUCAAGACCCUCGCGAGGGGCCAAGCCUCGCGAGGCGGACGACACAAGACCUCCUCAGGAGCAGCCUCACCAGGUUGGCUCAUGAGGGGCGGAGAGAUCAAGGCGAGGCAAACCUCACGAGGUUCUCGUGACGUGAGCCAUGACGAUCAAGAUCAGGCGGGCGCCAGCACGCGCAGUGUCCUUGUUUCCCCUUUGGUGCUAAGGAAGCGAGCGCAGGUGCGGAGUACCAAGGCGUCAAGCAAAGGUUUCCAUAUCGGUGCAAUGAGACCAAGACCAGCAGGACGGCAAGAUGGAGGUCACCAUGGAGCCCAAGGCGGCGUCACCACCAAAGCCUUUUGCAGGCGAAGACCGCUUUUGUUAGGGUAUUACACCACAACGGUGGCCCGAACCAGUAUAAACCCUGUGUCCCUUGUGUUGCGAGUUCGUCGAGCUCGAUCGUGAGAUCUUAGCAAGCUAGGACGUGGAUCGGUAGGGGGAGAACUUCGCGCGCACCCCAGAGUGCGAACCUUAAGGGUUUUGCCGGAACCCGUGAUCCGACAUUUGGCGCGCCAGGUAGUGGGGCUCCGUAGCUUUCCUUCCGUCGAUCUGUGCUCCGUCGCCGCCACGCUCCGCCCGCAUGGCAGGCGUCUCACUCCCGGCUCUGAUGGCAGGCGCUGACGACGGGGCCAGGGGGCUCCGAGCCCUAGCCCCCGCCUUGCGGCAGGUGCGAUGGCCGCCCAAGUUCAAGCCGGAGAUGCCACCGCGCUACGACGGCGCGACGGACCCGUCAGCUUUCCUGCUGGCAUACGAAGAGGCCGUCUUCGAGGCCGGAGGGGACGACAAGGUCAUGGCCAACUGGCUUCCCAUGGCCCUCGCUGGCGAGCCGCGCGCCUGGGUGCUCAACCUCCCCGGAUCCACGGUGGCAUCUUGGGAGGAGCUGCGCGGUCUCUUCACAACGCGUUACGCGGCGCCGGCGCACCACGCGGUCGCGGCCCUACUAGGCGGCUCUCAAGCACCGCCUUCGGAUUGCCAUAUCAAGCUAUUCCUUCGCCAGAUCGGCGCUGCUUCCAAGCGCUCGGGGGCUCCGCCGGGCUGGGUUGCGCCCGAAGCCGACCUCACCUUCGACUCAGAAGACCACCCCGUCACCACUUCCGGCUCGGGCGCGCUCCCAGUGCUCUGCACGCCCACCAUCUGCAACGUGGCCGUCACCAAGACCCUCAUCACAGCAGCGCCGACCUCAACGUGCUCUCUGUGGAGGCCUUCAGCCUUCUUCAUGUGCCGCUCGAUCAGCUCAGCCUCAGCAAGCCCUUCUCAGGAGUUGGCGGCGGCGCCGCCCACUCCCUGGGGCAGAUCCGCCUCCCCGUCACCUUUGGCACGUGCGACAACUACCGCACCUAGCUGGUCGACUUCGACAUCGCCUGCAUCGGCCUCCCGUACAACGCCAUCCUCGGGUACCCAGCACUGGCCCAGUUCAUGGCAGCAACCCAUCCGGCCUACAACCUCAUGAAGAUGCCUGGAAGCAAGGGCGCCCUCACCAUCAAGGGGGACGCCAAGGAGGCCCUGGCAGUGCUCAAGCUUGCGUUCAAGACCGCCACGGCGGUGCAGCCCGUCGACGCAGGCACCUCCGAGCCCAAGGGAGCCGCACCAACCAAGAAGAAGCAACUGUUCACCCAGGACAAGGCGGAAACCAAGCAGGUGCCGGUCGAUGAGGACGGGACCUCAGGAGCCACCUUUACCAUAGGUGCCGGCCUCGACCCAAGCCAAGAGGAAGCAUUGGUGAAGUUCUUGCGCGCAAACAAGGAAAUAUUCGCAUGGGAACCCAAGCAGCUGGUGGGGGUCCCGAGAGAGGUGAUUCAGCAUCACUUAAGGGUGUGCCCCAAUGUAUGCCCUAUGAAGCAGCGGGCGAGGCGGCAGUCCGCGGAGAAGCAGGCCUUCAUCGUCCAAGAAACCCGCAAGUUGGAGGCGGCGGGUGCCAUUCGCGAGGUGCAGUACCCCGAAUGGCUGGCAAACCCCAUCGUUGUGCCGAAGAAAGGCGGGAAGGAGCGAAUGUGCGUCGACUUCACCAACCUCAACAAGGCCUGCCCCCAAGAUCUGUUCCCGCUUCCACGCAUUGACCAGAUCGUCGACUCCACCGCCGAGUGCGACCUGCUGUGCUUCCUGGAUGUGUUCUCAGGGUAUCACCAGAUCAAGAUGGCGGUGGAAUAUGUAGAGAAGACAGCCUUCCUGACCCCCUGCGGCGUGUACUGCUACACUUGCAUGCCUUGUGGACCGCGCAACGCGGGCGUGACCUUUCAGCGGUUGAUGCAUAUCGCCUUAGGGCGAUAGCUCGGGAGAAACGCGGAGGCCUACGUCGACGACAUCGUGGUGAAGUCUCGGGAGGCCCGAACCUUGAUCCAAGAUCUGGAGGAGACUUUCGCGAGCCUGCGCCAGGUGAACUUGCGACUUAACCGGGAGAAGUGUGUGUUUGGUGUCCCUUCGGGCAAGCUGCUGGGUUUCCUCGUGUCCCAUAGAGGGAUCGAGGCGAACCCAAAGAAGAUCAAGGCCAUUGAAGACAUGAGCCCACCGCAAACCCUCAAGGAAAUGCAGAAGCUGGCCGGUCGGGUAACUGCGUUGGGGCGCUUCAUCUCCAAGCUGGGAGAGCGCACCCUACCCUUCUUCAAGCCGAUGAAAAAGAAGGGCCCGUUCGAGUGGACCCCGGAGGCAGACCAAGCUUUUCAAGACCUCAAGAGAUACCUGACCAGCCCUCCAGUGAUGGUAGCGCCACGACCUCUCGAGCCCCUGGUGCUUUAUCUUGCCGCCACCCCGUACUCCGCCAGCGCGGCUCUGGUGGUGGUUCGGGAAGAGCACCAGGCCAAAGGCGCGUCGCGCCAAGCCAUGCCGCCAGCUGAGCCGACGCAAGAUCAGGAAGGCGCCGCAAGAACCGCAGCAGCGUCGACAAAGGACCAAGCUCGGCAGGGCGGUGCCGCCAAGGUCCCGACAAGCGAUCAAGCGUGGGGGGUUCUGCUACCUCAAGAGACACCCCAACUCCCGCAAGACACGAGCCUCACCAACGCGCCUGCUCUCAUCGAGCACCCGGUGUAUUUCAUCAGCACGGUGCUACGGGACGCAAGGGCACGAUAUCCCAUGCCUCAUAAGCUCUUGCUCGCGCUCCUAGUGGCCUCGGGGAAGUUGCGGCACUACUUCCAGGGUCACCCCAUCAAGGUCGUUUCAGCCUACCCAUUGGAGAGGGUGCUCAGGAGCCCCAACUCUGCCAGAAGGGUCGCUGAGUGGAACAUCGAGUUGCAGGCGUUCCAGUUGGAGUUCAGCACUACCAGGGUCAUCAAGGGAGCUGCACUCGCUGAUUUCGUGGCGGAAUGGACGGAUGCCCCAACGCUUGAAGAAGGCGAAGACCGGUCCACCUCGCCGGGGAGUGAGGCGCCAGACGGCUGGGUCAUGUAUUUCGAUGGCGCCUUCGCGCACCAGGGCGCGGGGGCUGAAGCAGUACUCAUCUCGCCCACUCAGAACAAGCUCUACUACGCUGUGCAGCCCUGCUUUCAGAAGGGGAGAAGGUCUCCAACAACAUUGCAGAAUAUGAAGGCCUCAUAGCUGGCCUGAAGGCUGCGGCAGCUCUGGGGGUGAAGCGCCUCACCGUUAGGGGCGAAUCGCAGCUCCUCGUCAACUUCUCCAACAAGGUAUACGAGCCGAAGGACGAGCACAUGGAGGCGUACCUCGCGGAGGUGCGCAAGAUGGAGAAGCAGUUCCUGGGCCUGCAGUUGUAGCACGUGCCCCGUGGCACCAACAAAGAAGCUGACGACAUCGCUAGAAGGGCGUCCAGGCGGCAGCCCCAAGAGCAUGGCGUCUUCGAGAAGUGGCUCUUCAAGCCAUCAGCGACACCACCACUUUCGAGAACAGCUCAGCCUCGGGAGGAGCUCCCGCAGCCGCCUGCCACAGGAGCCCCAGCCUGUGGCCCGACCUCAGGAGCGCGCCUGCUCUUGGCGCUCGAGCCCCAAGAGGGAUGUUGGACCAAGGAAUUCAAGGAAUACCCGAUGCAAGGGGCGCUGCCGGAGAAGGAGGAGGAUGCAGAGCGCGUGGCCCGGCAAGCCACGGCAUACUGCAUCCGAGACGGUGAGUUGUACAGGAAGCGACCAAAUGACGUUUGAUAAGCACAUUUCAUAUACAUCUUUUGGCACUUAAAUAUGCGGUUUAUUGAGAUAUGACCAUCAAUUCUUGCUGUGAAAUAUUGAAUAUUUGCAUGAAAAUCAUAUAAAGAAUUAUUUACAAGUCAUUUGUUUCUUUUGCAGAAAAGUGCGCAAAGGCACUAUAAACUUCCAAGAUCUGGACUAGGUGGCUAAGAGAAUUAGUCAAGUGAAAAGAAGAGAAGGAAGAAUGGACUUGUGUGUGAUGAUAAGAAGUAACCAGAGGGGCUAGCCAAAGAAGAGAGGGACCAACUUGGGAAGAAAGAAGAGAAGUAGGAGGGCAAAAUUGCAAAGUGGCAGAUCAGAUCGUGAGGGAUCAAAAUCCCUAGCACAGCCACCGAUCCCCUUCGGGCCUGGCAUAUCUCCAUCUCUCUCUCCCGAUCCCCUUCUCCACCCACCGGCCGCCGCCGCGGCCAGGCCGGCGUGGCGGCGCGCCAUCCAUCCAGCCACCACUCCAUCAUCCACUCCCUCUCCACCACCCGCCGCUGCCAGCGCCGCAUCACCACCUCGAACCACCGCGCCAUCCAUCACCAUCUCCAGCACCGCCGCCGCACACCAUCCAUCACCAUAUCCAGCGCCACCACACCAUCCUCCACUCCUCCUACUGCUACCCUCUUCUUCCUCACCUCCGUUGUUGCUCCCCUGAACCCGAACUCCUUCUCCAUCUCCAAACUGCAUGCUUCGCCUCUGCUGAAGCUUUCUCUGAACCCCCCUGCUGCUUCUCUCUUCUCCAUGCCCCCGCUGCUGCUUCUUCUUUCUCUAACCACCUGCUGCUGAAUCUCUCUCCCUCUCCUAGCGCCUGCUGCUGUUUCUCUUCCCCCCUACGCCUCACUUGCUACUGCUCCUCCUCCUAAUCCUCUCAUGGUGCCUCAACCUGCUGCUUCUCCAAGCUCCGUUGCUGCUCCUCACUUGUGCCAGCUGCUCCUGUUCCCUACGCCUCUGCUACUGGUUCUUGCUUCUCUUCUGAACCUGAAGCUCUCUCUCUCUCUCUCUCUCUCUCUCUCUCUCUCUCUCUCUCAAACUGCUGUAAACUUUAGAAGUGUAAUGUUCAGAAUUUUGUAAUGUUCAGGGUUGUGUAAUGUUCAGACUUGACAAGUUGUAGCAACUUGUUAUUUGUUCAGUUUAGUACCUGUAUAAUAAAGUACUUGUUAUGUUGGAUCUGACUAGUUGAGGCCUUGUUAAUUUGGGAGAUAAUUGAUCUAUUAGAAUGUGCUUCUGUGUAUUACUAUUCUGCUAGCAUAUGAAUGUGUUCAUCCCUGUAUAUUUGUUCCUUAUUGCAGAAAUGUAUUCAGUCAUCCAUGUAUUAGCUCCAGUACAUGUGCUACAUAAAUAUUUGUGUGUUUGUGAUGAAAAAUCUAUCUUCUGUCCUAUAUUCACGUCUCUUCUCUCUGUUACAUGUUAGAUAAACUUGUGUUCUAGUAUUGUUGUUUCCCAUUUGGUCAUAUUUGUACGCUUGUGUCAGUGUCUACUUUCUCAAGUAAAACGAUAAUACCAAAAAGACUGAGAGUAUAAUCUGAAUCUUCCUUUGCUUCUUUUCGUUUAC